CUUCCUUCCCCGUCCAAACACGUGGCAUUGAAUCCGCAUCGUGGCUAAACAAUGUGGAAAACCUAUCCUUCAUACGAAUGAGAACCCUUCCGGCUUCUUCCCUUGUUUUUGAUUCAACUACACCUCUAGCAUAAUCCUUAAGACUGGUAACCAUUCUUUCCUUGGUUUUUUCAUCCAUAUCAUAGCCCUCCAGUCCUUUAGACAGCCCAGUGAUGGCAGACUCAGUCUCUCGUUGAAGAAGUUUUCUUAUGGCUGGCCAUGUCUCAUUAUUAGCUCCAUCUAGCAAAGCUUCCACGGGUCCUGACAAUGCUUCCUUCAGUUUUUUCUCUAAUUGUGCAGAAAGCUCAGAUAAUUUAUCAGCACGAACAGUUGCAAUGUGGGCAUCAAUAUCACGUCGAAGUUUAUCCCUUAUUCUAGAAGUGUCCCAGUUUGCUUGCUCAAUGAUAGCACCGGCACAUUCAUUGUCAAAAAUAGCCAUGUAGGUUUGAGCACAAUUAGAGGCAGCCAAAGAAAACCCUUCCCCUUCAUUCAAAGCUUUGUCAAAUGCCUCCUUGAACUUAUCAAAUGUCCCAGACCUUAUGUGACCCAACAGAGAUUGGAAGGCUGAUUGAACAAGUUGCAACAAUUUUUCUUCAAGUUGUGCUCUCUUUGCAGAUCUCACACCUUCGUCAAAAAAUGUGGCUUCUGCAUCAUACUCUGAUAAACAUGUAUCAAUGAUCGAACUUAGCUUCUUUCCAAAACCUUGAACUGGACCAGAUUGUACUUCUUCUUCCAACCUCAACCAGUCCUCAUUUGAUGCAAACCAGGCAAACUUCUCAUUGCCAAUUUCCUCACAGCGAACCGUAGCCACCAUAACCUUAUGCGCUGGAAGGUCAAGAUCCUUGUUCUCCUUGAUAACUUUCCAGAUUUGCUGAGCACUAAAAGAAAAACCUGAAGCAGGAACAACUCCCCUGCGAUCUCCAGCAAGCCCUCCUGGGGCAAUAGAAUGGAAGAAUCUCUGUCUCAAAUUUGCCACCUG
rnacentral:misc_RNA from 1 species